rnacentral:lncRNA from 1 species
GGCUUUUUAAUUAUAAAAGAAGGUGACCCAUUAACCAGAAACAGAUCAGUCCAUUUCUCAAGCCAAAGUUGAUCUUAUUUGCCCUUCUUCAUUUUUGCAGUCUUCUCUCUCCGCUUCUUCACAUGCUUCGGGACUUUGGUUUUCCUCUUUUCUCUUUGGGCUUCUUUAACCAUCUUUUUCCUCUCCUUUUUAUCCAUAGUAACUGCAGGAGGAAGAUCUUUGGGAUGCCGAGAUUCUUUACAGCUUGAAUCAGAGUCCUCUGAGCUGCCACCAUCAUCAUCAUCAGAGCCUGUUUCUGACUCAUCUGUCUUCUUUUCUAGAAGUGCAGGAAUCUUCUGAACACCAGACAAAUCCUUCUUCAAUCCCGUCACGGUCUGGUAGAGAAUAUUAUCUUGCUGAACACACAAUGCCAAAUCCUCUUCUUUCAAUUUCAUCAUUAUAUCCACAUCUCUCUCAUAGUUUUUAACUUCAGUCAAAGUUCGAGGUAUGUAAGCCUUCUUAAACACUUCCUCAUCCACUUUAUCUUGGCUGGAUCUCUCCUCCUCUGUUCUUUUUGAUGCUAUUUCCAUUGCCUUUGAUAGAUAGUCAUCAAUGUUCUCACUUGUGAUAGAAGGAUCGGUAAUAAACUCAAACAGUUCCCUCACAGUCAUCACUGCAACAUUGUGCUUCUGGAAAAAGCCAUUAACAUUGGCACAAUCCUUUCGCAGAAACUCCAGUGCAUGUGGGUGGUCAUGCUCCACUGCCUGAGACACAUCAAU